rnacentral:tRNA from 1 species
GCCUGGGUAGUUCAUUGGUAGAGCACCUGACUAGAGAUGCAGGGGUACCGGGUUCGAUUCCCGGUCCAGCCA